rnacentral:rRNA from 1 species
UACGUAGGGUGCAAGCGUUGUCCGGAUUUAUUGGGCGUAAAGAGCUCGUAGGCGGUUUGUUGCGUCGGCUGUGAAAUCCCGAGGCUCAACCUCGGGUCUGCAGUCGAUACGAGCAAACUAGAGUGUUGCAGGGGAGACUGGAAUUCCUGGUGUAGCGGUGAAAUGCGCAGAUAUCAGGAGGAACACCGGUGGCGAAGGCGGUUCUCUGGGCAUGACCUGACGCUGAGGAGCGAAAGUGUGGGGAGCGAACAGG